rnacentral:rRNA from 1 species
AGGUGAAAAGGACCCCGGAAGGGGAGUGAAAUAGAACCUGAAACCCUGUGCCUACAAGCACUGAGAGCACGUCAAUGUGUGAUCAGGUACUUUUUGUAGAACGGUCCGGCGAGCGAAUGUAUGCAGCGAGGUUAAGUUGUUCAGCAACGAAGCCGCAGCGAAAGCGAGUCUGAAAUGGGCGCUUAGUUGCAUGCAUUGGGCCCGAAACCGGGUGACCUACCCAUGGUCAGGCUGAAGUGGAGGUAAAACUCCAUGGAGGGCCGAACACACGCCCGUUGAAAAGGUCGGUGAUGAACUGUGGGUAGCGGAGAAAUUCCAAUCGAACUCGGAGAUAGCUGGUUCUCCCCGAAAUAGCUUUAGGGCUAGCCUUGCAUUAGAUAUUCGGAGGUAAAGCACUGAAUGGCCUAGGGGUCGAGAGACUACCGAAGCCUAUCAAACUCUGAAUGCCGAAAUAUCGAUGUGCAGGAGUCAGACAGUGUGAGAUAAGUCUCAUUGUCAAAAGGGAAACAGCCCAGAUCUACAGCUAAGGUCCCAAAGCAGGUUUAAGUGGAAAAGGAUGUGGAGUUGCGAAGACAACUAGGAUGUUGGCUUAGAAGCAGCCACUCAUUCAAAGAGUGCGUAAUAGCUCACUAGUCGAGUGACUCUGCGCCGAAAAUUCAACGGGGCUAAAACCUGCACCGAAGCUUAGGCAGAUAUGCAAAUAUCUGGGUAGGGGAGCGUUGUGUACGAGGAGAAGCAUUAGCGUAAGCGGGUGUGGAUUGUACACAAGUGAGAAUGCCGGAAUAAGUAGCGCGAAUGAUGUGAGAAUCAUCAUGGCCGAAAGCCUCAGGUUUUUGGAGCAAGGUUCGUCCGCUCCAAGUUAGCCGGGAGCUAAGGUGAGGCCGAAAGGCGUAGCCGAUGCACAUACGGUAGAGAUUCCGUAGCCACCGAAAUUGUUAAGUGUGGGGACACAUUGAAAGGGUAUGACCCGGGCGUUGGUUGCCCCGGGCGUAAGGGACUGAAAUUUAGUAGGGAAGCAUACCUGGACGAUGGCGAGAAAAGCCACAUGUAUUGAUAAGGUGCCCGUACCGCAAACCGACACAGGUAGGUAGGAAGAAGAUUCUAAGGCCAACGGGAGAAGGGUUGUUAAGGAACUCGGCAAAUUGACCCCGUAACUUCGGAAUAAGGGGUGCUCUAGUGAUAGAGCCGCAGAGAAUAGGCCCAAGCAACUGUUUAGCAAAAACACAGGUCUGUGCUAAAUCGAAAGAUGACGUAUACGGGCUGACACCUGCCCGGUGCUGGAAGGUUAAGAGGAUGUGUGCAAGCACUGAAUUGAAGCCCCAGUAAACGGCGGCCGUAACUAUAACGGUCCUAAGGUAGCGAAAUUCCUUGUCAGGUAAGUUCUGACCCGCACGAAUGGCGUAAUGAUUUGGGCACUGUCUCAACAGCCCGCCCGGCGAAAUUGUAGUACCGGUGAAGAUGCCGGUUUCCCGCGACAAGACGGAAAGACCCCAUGGAGCUUUACUGUAGCCUGAUAUUGGGUUUCGGUAUUAUAUGUACAGGAUAGGUGGGAGACUAUGAAACAGCGGCGUCAGCCGUUGCGGAGUCGUCCUUGGGAUACCACUCUUGUGAUACUGGAAUUCUAACCUGCGGCCUUGAAUCAGGCCGGGGGACAUUGUCAGGUGGGCAGUUUGACUGGGGCGGUCGCCUCCUAAAAUGUAACGGAGGCGUUCAAAGGUUGGCUCAGCUUGGACGGAAACCAAGCCAGAGAGUGCAAACGCAUAAGCCAGCCUAACUGCGAGACAGACAAGUCGAGCAGUAACGAAAGUUGGAGUUAGUGAUCCGGUGGUAUGUGAGUGGAAAUGCCAUCGCUCAACGGAUAAAAGUUACCCUGGGGAUAACAGGCUGAUCUCCCCCAAGAGUCCACAUCGACGGGGAGGUUUGGCACCUCGAUGUCGGCUCAUCGCAUCCUGGGGCUGUAUUCGGUCCCAAGGGUUUGGCUGUUCGCCAAUUAAAGCGGUACGCGAGCUGGGUUCAGAACGUCGUGAGACAGUUCGGUCCCUAUCUGUCGUGGGCGUAGGAUAUUUGACAGGAUCUGUCCCUAGUACGAGAGGACCGGGAUGGACGCACCUCUGGUGCACCAGUUGUUCUGCCAAGGGCAUAGCUGGGCAGCUAAGUGCGGAUCGGAUAAACGCUGAAAGCAUCUAAGCGU